UUGAACGCUGGCGGCAGGCCUAACACCUGCAAGUCGAGCGGAUGAAGGGAGCUUGCUCCUGGAUUCAGCGGCGGACGGGUGAGUAAUGCCUAGGAAUCUGCCUGGUAGUGGGGGAUAACGUCCGGAAACGGGCGCUAAUACCGCAUACGUCCUGAGGGAGAAAGUGGGGGAUCUUCGGACCUCACGCUAUCAGAUGAGCCUAGGUCGGAUUAGCUAGUUGGUGGGGUAAAGGCCUACCAAGGCGACGAUCCGUAACUGGUCUGAGAGGAUGAUCAGUCACACUGGAACUGAGACACGGUCCAGACUCCUACGGGAGGCAGCAGUGGGGAAUAUUGGACAAUGGGCGAAAGCCUGAUCCAGCCAUGCCGCGUUUGUGAAGAAGGUCUUCGGAUUGUAAAGCACUUUAAGUUGGGAGGAAGGGCAGUAAGUUAAUACCUUGCUGUUUUGACGGUACCAACAGAAUAAGCACCGGCUAACUUCGUG
rnacentral:rRNA from 1 species